rnacentral:lncRNA from 1 species
GGUCAAAACAGAGCACCUAAACCAAACCAAACCAAACAGGUGCAAAAUAGAGCACCUAAAAGAAACCAAACCUGACUAACGAUGAGAGACGGCACAAAGAACGUCCAAACAGGGUCAAAACAGAAGACCCACAAACCAAAAGUGGCCAAAACAGAAAGAGGAAGGCCGGCCGGUCACAACCGUGGCAGAACGGCGCCGGAAAACUGGCUGUAAGGCCGCGCGUGGAUCCCACGCGCCGGUGAACCUGCGGAAGUGUGGCAGCGCGUGAAGGCGCGUGGAGGUCUGUUUGGCGGCGGUACUCCGGCAGAUGGUGGAUCGGCGGCCUCUGGCUUGAUUCCGGGUGGCUGUGUCGUCACUUGACAAGCUUGAAAAAUAUGGGUCAGCAGCACUUGCGGCUGUAACCCAGAACCAGAAAAAAAAGAAUGCUCAAGGGAAAACUAGGGCUCUAGAUACCAUGUUGAAUCUGAUAAAAUAUUUCUUGUGUCUUAUUCAUUGAUAAACUUGUACAAUAUAUAUAGAUGUUAAAAGAUAUCAAAACUAUAUCUAUCUA